UGUUGGUUUUUAAAGAAAUUCUAAGCAUCUAGGUGUCUUUUUUCCCCCCUUCUCUUUAACUGUUAAGAAAGUUGUCUUUCCGGUGUUGUUCUAUGUAAACUUCAGGAGUAUUUGUGGGUUUUGCAUGUUUUGUAUGAGUUCAGUUUAAACAAUGCAUUUAAAUCACCUGGGAUGUCCGAUUCUGGCACGUCUUCACUGUUUGUGUUUUAAACAUGUUUCAUGUGUUUCCAAACCUCACUUGGUAUCUUACUUGAGAUCAUUGAAGUUGAUUUGGGAUAUUUGCUUUACAAGUGUUUUUUCAAGCAGUUCUUAACACAGUGUUUAGAUGUUUCCUGGGCUGUUUAUAUGCUCAGUUUGCCCUGAACAAAGUGGUGGUCUUACUAAGAUUUAAAUUCUUAAUAUAAAACAAGUUCUACGUUUAAUCUAUAGUUCAGCUUGUUGCUGAAUCCAAGACAAUGCUAAUGCUAAUUCUUGUGGUGUGUUCCUGACCAGUGCCCUCUAGUAUGCUUGUGAGUUUCCAGGUUUCUUCCCACAGUGCUAGGAGAUCAUUUACUGUUACAAAACUUUUCCAAAUCGGAAUGAAGGCUGUGAGAGAAGCAAGGUGGGGAAAUCACACCAUCCACUGCAGUUUCUGUUCAAGGUGCGUGAAAGACCCUCCCAAAUAUCUAGUGAUUGUAAAGGUGCUAGGGGGAGCCUGAAUCCAAAGGAACACACAGGCAGGAGAGCUAGGUCUCCUGGCUAAGACUCCCUGGACUCCACUGCACCCUCUGUACCUAGGGUACGUUAGACACCUCCCUAUUAUGUUUCCAUGGACACACAUAGGCUAUUAUAGGCACGUGCUUUCUGAAGUGAGGAUCUCGCUGUUGAAGAUUUAUUUCCUAGUUUGGGCUGUACCAAAUUGUGAAUACUCGCUGUGUUGUACCCAGUUGCUUUAUAUUAAUACUGCAACUUGAAUUGGGGUGGGUGGGUGGGGCAGCAGGGUGUGGGAGGGAGGGUAAUGGAAUAAAGUCUUUUGAAGACAUCAGCUCACACUGUGCUGAGAGAGGGACCAAACUCAAGGAAACCUCUGAUCUAUAAAUUCAACUGCUGCAUUUUUUAUAAAUACAUGUAAAUGUCCUGUUGUAAUAUUUGAUCUUGGAAAUAAAAAAAAAACUUUUCAGU
rnacentral:lncRNA from 1 species